rnacentral:rRNA from 1 species
GAUGAACGCUGGCGGCGUGCUUAACACAUGCAAGUCGAACGGUGAAGCAGGAGCUUGCUCCUGUGGAUCAGUGGCGAACGGGUGAGUAACACGUGAGCAAUCUGCCCUGGACUCUGGGAUAAGCGUUGGAAACGACGUCUAAUACCGGAUACGAGGCGUGGGGGCAUCCCCAACGCCUGGAAAGAACUUCGGUCCAGGAUGAGCUCGCGGCCUAUCAGGUAGUUGGUGAGGUAACGGCUCACCAAGCCUACGACGGGUAGCCGGCCUGAGAGGGGGACCGGCCACACUGGGAAGUAGACACGGCCCAGACUCCUACGGGAGGCAGCAGUGGGGAAUAUUGCACAAUGGUCGCAAGCCUGAUGCAGCAACGCCGCGUGAGGGACGACGGCCUUCGGGUUGUAAACCUCUUUUAGCAGGGAAGAAGCGAAAGUGACGGUACCUGCAGAAAAAGCACCGGCUAACUACGUGCCAGCAGCCGCCGUAAGAC